UACGGUAGGGGGCAAGCGUUGUCCGGAUUUAUUGGGCGUAAAGAGCGUGUAGGCGGCCAUACAGGUCCGUUGUGAAAACUGGAGGCUUAACCUCCAGACGUCGAUGGAAACCGUAUGGCUAGAGUCCGGAAGAGGAGAGUGGAAUUCCUGGUGUAGCGGUGAAAUGCGUAGAUAUCGGGAGGAACACCAGUGGCGAAGGCGACUUCCUGGCCUGUUCUUGACGCUGAGGCGCGAAAAGCUAGGGGAGCAAACGGGG
rnacentral:rRNA from 1 species